AGAUGCACAGUUUUCUCCAUAUGUUGGUGGAAUGGCCUUUUCGCCUUCUUCAUCUCCAGGCUAUAGCCCGUCAUCUCCUGGAUACAGUCCUACUUCCCCCGGUUACAGUCCCACUUCACCUGGAUAUAGCCCGACUUCUCCUGGUUAUAGUCCCACUUCGCCUACCUACAGUCCAAGUUCUCCUGGCUAUAGUCCAACAAGCCCUGCUUACUCUCCUACAAGUCCUUCCUAUUCCCCCACCUCGCCGAGCUACAGCCCCACGUCUCCAAGCUAUAGCCCAACAUCUCCAAGCUACAGUCCAACAUCUCCUAGCUACAGUCCAACAUCCCCUAGUUACAGCCCGACUUCACCUGCUUACAGCCCAACAUCACCUGCUUAUAGUCCGACUUCACCUGCAUACAGUCCAACCUCUCCUUCUUACAGUCCAACUUCACCAUCUUACAGUCCAACAUCGCCUUCUUACAGCCCUACCUCACCAUCCUAUAGUCCGACAUCACCAUCUUACAGCCCUACUUCACCUGCAUACAGCCCCACAUCUCCUGGCUACAGCCCAACUUCCCCAAGUUACAGUCCAACAUCACCAAGCUAUGGCCCUACGUCUCCAAGCUA
rnacentral:lncRNA from 1 species